CGCGUAGGCGGCCGAUUAAGUCGGGGGUGAAAGCCUGUGGCUCAACCACAGAUUGCCUUCGAUGCUGGUUGGCUUGAGACCGGAAGAGGACAGCGGAACUGCGAGUGUAGAGGUGAAAUUCGUAGAUAUUCGCAAGAACACCAGUGGCGAAGGCGGCUGUCUGGUCCGGUUCUGACGCUGAGGCGCGAAAGCGUGGGAGCAAACA
rnacentral:rRNA from 1 species